rnacentral:tRNA from 1 species
GUUGACUGUAGCUUAAACUUAAAGUAUAGCACUGAAAAUGCUAAGAUGGUACCACCCCUACACAA